AGAACGAACGCUGGCGGCAGGCCUCAAACAUGCAAGUCUAGGGGGCGUAGCAAUACGUCACCGGCGGACGGGUGCGUAACACGUGGGAAUGUACUUAUUGGUUCGGAACAACUCAGGGAAACUUGAGCUAAUACCGAAUGUGCCCGAAAGGGGAAAGAUUUAUCGCCAAUAAAUCAGCCCGCGUCCGAUUAGCUAGUUGGUGGGGUAAAGGCCCACCAAGGCGACGAUCGGUAGCUGUUCUGAGAGGAAGAUCAGCCACACUGGGACUGAGACACGGCCCCAGACUCCUACGGGAGGCAGCAGUUGGGAAUCUUGGACAAUGGGGAAACCCUGAUCCAGCCAUGCCGCGUGAGUGAUGAAGGCCUUCGGGUUGUAAAACUCUUUCGACGGGGACGAUAAUGACGGUACCCGUAGAAGAAGCUCCGGCUAACUUCGUGCCAGCAGCCGC
rnacentral:rRNA from 1 species